rnacentral:rRNA from 1 species
CCUACGGGCGGCAGCAGUGGGGAAUAUUGGACAAUGGGGGGAACCCUGAUCCAGCCAUGCCGCGUGUGUGAAGAAGGCCCUCGGGUUGUAAAGCACUUUCAGUGAGGAAGAACGCCUGGUGGUUAAUACCCAUCAGGAAAGACAUCACUCACAGAAGAAGCACCGGCUAACUCCGUGCCAGCAGCCGCGGUAAUACGGAGGGUGCGAGCGUUAAUCGGAAUUACUGGGCGUAAAGCGCGCGUAGGUGGCUUGAUAAGCCGGUUGUGAAAGCCCCGGGCUCAACCUGGGAACGGCAUCCGGAACUGUCAAGCUAGAGUGCAGGAGAGGAAGGUAGAAUUCCCGGUGUAGCGGUGAAAUGCGUAGAGAUCGGGAGGAAUACCAGUGGCGAAGGCGGCCUUCUGGACUGCCACUGACACUGAGGUGCGAAAGCGUGGGUAGCAAACAGGAUUAGAUACCCGAGUAGUC